rnacentral:rRNA from 1 species
AUGGUCCUCACCAACAUGUCCUACUACGGCAUCCCGCUGGUGUCCGUCAUGUUCUCCGGCCACCUCGGCGACGCCCAACUCGCCGGCGCCACGCUCGGCAACUCCUGGGCCACCGUCACCGGCUACGCCUUCGUGUUGCACAGUGAGGAUGCAAACGAUGUGGAUCACACGGUGAUACAAAGGCAUUUUGUAGCCUUUUUUUUUGCAACUAGAGACAAAUUGGUUGGUGAAGGAGAGGUGCCUGGCAGUGAAACAAAGGGUUCUCCAAAUAGGACCUUUCGGCGGGACUCAAAACGGGGUGCUAAGCAGGAACCAUGUGUCACUGAUAAUGACGGGGAUGGAGAGGAUGAUGACGUGUCCCAGAGAGUAUCUAAAGCAUAUGAAAAAGAACUUGGGCCAGCGUGA